rnacentral:rRNA from 1 species
AUGGCUCUCACCGGCGGCGCCACCACCGCAGCGUGCAUCCUCGUCCUCCUCGCGCUCGCCGACGCCGCGGGGGCGGCUACCCGGGCGCCAGCGCCGGCGCCGGCGCCGGACUGCAUGGAGGCGUUGAUUAGCCUCGCAGACUGCCUCGACUAUGUGACGCCCAGCACCAAGUCGGCUCGGCCUUCCAAGGCUUGCUGCACGGAGGUGAAGACCGCCGUCGGCACCCCCGCCACCGUGAAGUGCCUCUGCGCUGCCAUGGACGCCAAGACAACUCCGAUACCGAUCAACAUGACACGGGUGCUCGCUCUCCCCACCGCCUGCGGCCAAUCCGCCUCCGUCUUGAACAAGUGCCACGGUG